UAUUAAAGGUGAACACAAUGGGUUUGGUUUACUUUUCGCAUCGGCCUGUGUCAAUCGAGGUUGAGUUUAGUGAGGGUUGAAAGUUUUCGAUCUAGAUUGCAGAUCACUAUUGUCACUUUAUACAAACUGAAAGUAUGCGUUGUUGCGUGUUUGUUUUUGUGGGCAUUUGACUGAACAGCCCAGAAAAAUAUUGCUACCAACAUGGCACUUUGAUACAGACCACCGCAGUGUUAGAUGACUGACAAGAUCUAUGGGGGGCCCCUUUGGGCCCCCCAUACCAACUUAGUCUUCAAAGGAAUCUAGUGCCAUGGGACUCCAGUGUCUUCAAAACAUCCUCGGAAUACAUGUGUAUGAAUGGUCCACGAAGGUUGAUCUGGAAGCCACCACGGUCCACGCAGUAAUCUGCUGCGUGGGCGUGUGAGUGGCUUCCAGAGCCAUCUUUCGGUCUUGGUCAGGAUUUGUUACAGUUGCCCUUCAAUGUAGCAGGCUACGGGUUUCUGAAGAAGCCUGCUUUACGUAGCAUUGGAGUACAAAUAUUGUGCAAAAUGCUCAUGUAAUUGCACUAGCACUGGUAACCUGUAGAUUAGCUUAGUUUAACGUCAUUCGGUGCUGUCUGUCAAAUGUGUGGCUUACUUUAAGUCCACAAGGCCCUCUGGUAAACCACGUUGGAACACCCCUGGACAAGGUGAUUAGUCACUGGGUGUGUGCUAAAGUUUUGUUCCAUUUUUCACUAGUUGGUUAAGGUUUGGUAGAAUUGUUUGGAUGCUAGCGACGUGAUGGCGUAUGUACAAGAGCCUACCGUGGCCAGGCCACAGUUGCGACGGCCAUGGCCAGAUGGCCUAGUGUGAGUGCAACCUUGAUUGCAUUUGUAUACUGUUUACCAUUGGAUGUUUAUGCAAUUUGGCUUAAUUCAUCCGCUGUAAAGCUGCAGUUGACUAGUUUGUGGGAAGUUUUUUUUUUUUUUACCCUUGCUUACAAUCCAACGGUUGCGACCACUUAUGCAACUGGGCUGUGAACCUUGCAAUUCUAGUUGCAUAUUUGUACACGCAAGCUUGUCCAUUUCUAUCGCCAUCACUAACACUAGCUUCAGCAUUUCCUUGUAGGCCAUUAGCUGACUUGUGUAUUGGAGCGAUGAUUUGGGUAUUUUAAGAUGCUUGAAAACCUAAAAUUAAGCAAAAUGCGUGUCUGGUGUGCAAGAGCCAAUUUGUUGGCUUGCAGUAGUCGAGGAGUUGCCGUAGGUCGUAAGCCAUCUGGAGGUUGUGGCAAUGGAGGCUUGUGGUAGAUCUGCCAUCCAAGAGAGGUUAAUUCUUCUGAAGCAUGAUUAAUAGUUUAGUAAAUUGAAUCUAUUCAUAUAGAACUAUAAAAUUCAAGACUGCAGCCAGUAACUUGGAUCGCAAUAUGUGGAAAGUAUUAGUCUUUAUUUGUAACAACAGAAUAAUUAACAUGACUAACUGGGUUUCUUCCAUUUUCUAACUAGGGGGACUUGACUGGUGAGUCUACUGGAUUAAUCAGUAGCGGUACUUUGCCCAACAGAUUUGAUGGCAUGACUACAGGGUGACAAAGACAAUUAUUCCUUGCCUAUCAAAAGAGACUUCUAAAACAUAUCUGCUAGAACAGUUCGUAUACUUUUUGUGUAAUUUGGUCAUGCUGCAAAUUUACUUUUUGUAGUUGCUGUAGUUGCAUAUUUAGUUCUUUGACAGCCUCACCUGCUAGAAAAGUCUAUUCAAAUCGGCUAAAUAUAAUGAACUAAAUUAAUAGCCAUGAAAUGUUGUCACUCAUACUAAUGGCAAAUACUCCCUUUCAGUUGGUGGUUCAACACUGAUGUCUCUCUAGGCUUGAGGGAGAGCUCACAAGUAAAUUAAACGAAUGUCCUGGAGCAAUUGGGAAUACACUUUUAUUUAGUCCACAUGACCAGGGACAUCUUUGAACUAUAGGUCACCUAACCCAAACUUUUCACUCUUGUUAGGUUGUCCUUUUCUCUUGUUUUAACCCGAAAGGGCUGAAAAUAUCAACAUUUCAGGUAUUCUGUUUGGAUAAUGUGCAAAACUUGUGGCUUCACUAAUAAAAAAAAUUAACGAAUGUAUUUUUCUUAAUGUGGUUAAACUAUUUAAAUAUUUGUAUGCAAAAUAUUUCUGCUCAUAUUUCUGCUCAAUUUAUGGUCAAUGAAACUCAAAUUUUUUAAUUUGAUAUAACACAACUAUGGGUUAAAGGUAUUUGCGUUGGGCAUCUUUUGAUAUUUUUAGAAUCUAGCUCCAUUGCCGUUAGAAAUG
ensembl:lncRNA